rnacentral:lncRNA from 1 species
UGUCAGUCCAUGCUCGUUGAUGUAUUAGUCGAAGUCUUCUAAUCACCAUCUUCCAUAGAUCAUAACUGUACAUACAAUAGAAAUAGAGGUGAUCCCUUGAUUCUCGUGUGGGGUUGCAGAGAAGGCAGCAAUCGUCUGUUUGGAUCCCCAACCUGAUCAGUCUAUCACGCGUUGGAAUUCUUUCUUGAAUCACUAACCAUGAAUGGAAACUAUGACCUAGAAUUGCUCUGGAGAACCAAACAGCAUAAGCCUAUAUGACAUCUGGUUGGGGUUCACUAAGGUAAUCGUAAAAAGCUCUCGUUUUGAAUAUGCUUGAUGUCUGACCAUUUAUCUCCCAUUCAUAAUAAUAAUCUUGAUUACUUUCGAACUGAAUGGUUGUUAAGUAGGCAUAGAGCUGCAGUUGAGGCUCAGAUCGAGCUGGAGGAAGGCCUCCAAGUUCCAUUAGAAUACAAAGAAGAGACUGUGGCAAGUUGAUGAUACAUAAUCUAGAGCUGGACCCAGAGAGAUAGUGUGAAGAUCGCUAAAAGGUGACCAAUUGUCAGUCCAGAACCUUGCUAAUUCCCCAUUCUGAAGCUGAAGCUUAAUCAAGGGGAAAACAAGAUGCUUGAGUUUUAGAAGCUUGUUGACUAGACGUGAGAAAGAUUUUCGUGGAGGCGUGGUCGAAUAAUUAUGCAGAGAGCCUUUGAGUAUCACCUUCUUAAAUCAUUGGACCCAAGCUGAGCCAGG